rnacentral:rRNA from 1 species
UACGUAGGGGGCGAGCGUUGUCCGGAAUUACUGGGCGUAAAGGGCGCGUAGGCGGUUUCUUAAGUCAGAGGUGAAAACUAUGGGCUCAACCCAUAGCCUGCCUUUGAAACUGGGAGACUUGAGGACAGGAGAGGGGAGUGGAAUUCCCAGUGUAGCGGUGAAAUGCGUAGAUAUUGGGAGGAACACCAGUGGCGAAGGCGGCUCUCUGGCCUGUAACUGACGCUGAGGCGCGAAAGCGUGGGGAG